rnacentral:rRNA from 1 species
UGAGGAAUAUUGCGCAAUGGGGGAAACCCUGACGCAGCGACGCCGCGUGAGUGAGGAAGGCCUUCGGGUCGUAAAGCUCUGUCAAGAGGAAAGAAGUGUACAAUGGCUAAUACCUGUUGUAUUGACGUACCUUAAG